AAUAAACAUAUAUACACAAUACUGUGAACAAACCAGAGUGUAUAAAACAUGUAAUAUAUUAUAAUAUUUAGCAAUGAAUGUUUUAUCAUGGAAUAUUGCUAUAAUGAAUAUUAAUAUCGAUGGAGAUAGUUGGAGUUAAGAGUACUGAUAGGCGAGCGGUGAAAUGCAUUGACCCUAUUAAGACUAACAAAAGCGAAAGCACUUAACUAGAUUAUUCUCUUUGUAUUAUUUUACAAUGAAGAGCGAAGGUUGGGGGAACAAAGAGGAUCAGAUACCCUCGUAGUCCUAUUUUUACAUCAAACUAUGGGAUUUCAUUCACACUAAACACUAAACAUUAUAAUUAUAAUUAUGAUUGAGUAUAUGUCAAAAUAUUACUCUCAUAUUAAAUAAUUAUUAUAAUAUAUGUUAUAUGUACUUUGAGCUCAUAUAAUUAUAUAGGUGAGAUGUAAGCAUUAUAAAGUGAAUAAUAUACAAGUAAUAUUGUAUUAUUAUGAUCUUUAAAAUAAAAAAUGUAAUGUGAUG
rnacentral:rRNA from 1 species